GAAGACGAGGAGGAGGAAGACGAGGAAGACGAGGAAGAAGAAGAGGAGGAGGAGGUGCCGCCCCCGCCUCGGGUAGUGAGCGAGGAGAAUCUGCGGAGAUAUGCCCCAGACCCUGUGUUGGUGCGCGGCGCCGGCCACAUCACUGUGAUAAAUACCGGGGCAUGGUGUAUUGAAAUACAGAAAACAUACAUCUGAUGAGAUUUUUCCCCCUUGUGUUUUUAAAUAUGACCACACUCUUAUUAUUUAAAAUGUGUGUACAUCUGUCCGCCCUUGCUAAAGUACCUGGAUAGAAGUUAGUUGAGGGGGUUGGGGACUUAGCUCAGUGGUAGAGCACUUGCCUAGCAAGCGCAAGGCCCUGGGUUUGGUCCCCAGCUCCGGAAAA
rnacentral:lncRNA from 1 species